AAAGAUUAAGCCAUGCAUGUCUAAGUUCAAGCGAAAAUAAAGUGAAACCGCGAAUGGCUCAUUACAUCAGUUAUGGUUCCUUAGAUCGCACUUACUACUUGGAUAACUGUGGUAAUUCUAGAGCUAAUACAUGCACUGAGCUCCAACCCUCGUGGAAGGAGCGCUUUUAUUAGAUCAAAGCCAAUCGGGCCUUCGGGUCCGUACCGUUGGUGACUCUGAAUAACUUUGCUGAUCGCAUGGUCUCGUACCGGCGACGUAUCUUUCAAGUGUCUGCCUUAUCAACUGUCGAUGGUAGGUUAUGCGCCUACCAUGGUUG
rnacentral:rRNA from 1 species